CGACAGCUCGUCCCCCAAAUCGAAUCCACUGGAACCCUAGAACAUAAGCAGAGGGCGGCGCGGCGGCGCGACUUGAAUCCGUCGGCGGCGAGCAUCUUCGGCGCAAGCGGAGGACGCAACCACCUCGCAUGAAGCACGGAUGCAUGUGAUAUAAAGUAGGAAGACAAAGAUGGAUGUGUUGGGCACAUUACCAGUGCGGUUCCAUUUCAAUGGAGAGUUCAUAACCUCUCUCAGAAGAGUCUUUUCUACUGUGGUGGAAAGGAAGAGAUCUCAUACAUAGAUAGAGACAAAGUGUCUCUGCCUGAGAUUUGGGGUCACCUGAAGGAUCAUUGCAAUGUCCAAGAUGGAUCUCUAUUGCAUUGGCUAUAUCCUGGCAAAGAUCUGAUUAAUGGGCUUCGUGUACUAGUAGAUGAUACAUCAUGUAUUCAGAUGGCAGAUAGCAUUGUGGAAGGGGGAGUGGCAGAAAUUUAUGUUGAGACCCCAGAACCUGAAGCUGAUGAUGAUCUUGGACAUGAAUCACCUAGCAAGGUCACUGCAUUGACUCAAAGCAAAGAGAACAGAGAAAGAGAUAUUCAGUUUAUCAGAGCAUAGUACAAUCCAAGUAAGGUGGUGAAGCAAAAUGUAGUACCUAAGGCAUCAUCUCAACCUUCAGUGGCACAACUUGUAGGUACUCAAGGAACAGGUGAUGGCAAUCAAUCUUAAGGGCUUCCACAUGAAGAUUCAAGUGACAGUGAAAAUGAUAGUGACUACUUACCGGGUGAUGAAGCAUCAUCUGGGGAGGAUGAGGAAGCAAUAGAAAUAGUUACAAAGUUCAAACAAUUCAAGACAAAGUUGAAGGCUGGUGAAGCAGCAAAUCUGGAUGAUGUAGUACUGAGAUACCCAAAGAAGUGUCAACCAUGUAUGAGAUAGAAGAUGAUGGUAAUGCUACUUCAUAUGAGGACAGUACCGGUGAAGAAGAUUUAGUAGAAGUGCUAAGUGAAGGUGAGGUUGUCACCAAGAGAAGUAAGUAUCCUAGAUACAACAAGAAGGAUCCAAGUCCAAAAUUUGAGAUAGGGAUGAAGUUCAGUGGGAAGAGGAAGUUUAAGAAGGUUAUCACCAAGCAUGACUAAUGAUAGUUGGGAUUGGUUUUGUGAUUUAUUAUUUAGAGACCUUGGUGUUGGUGAAGGAGAUGACUGGGUGUUCAUAUCUGACUAGCAGAAGGGCAUUUUAACAGCAGUUUAGAAGUGGGCACCUAAUGUUGAGCAUAGGAAUUGUGCUAGGCACAUAUAUGCUAAUUGGAGGAAGAAACACAAGAAGAAGGAAUGGCAAAAGAAAUUUUGGGCCUGUGCCAAGGCUCCUUGUGUUACUUUAUUCAACCUUGCUAAGGCUAGAUUGGCACAGUAUACACCUGCAGGAGCUAAGGUAAUUAUUAAUACAGAUCCUCAUCAUUGGAGUAGAGCCUGGUUCAGGUUAGGUUCUAAUUGUGACUCAGUAGACAAUAAUAUGUGUGAGUCUUUCAAUAAGUGGAUAGUUAAAGCAAGAUUCUUUCCUAUAAUAACCAUGCUGGAGAUAAUUAGAAGAAAAGUCAUGGUUAGGAUUCAGAGCAACAGAUCCAAGUCACUGAGUUGGAACACAGUCAUAUGCCCUAACAUCUUGAAGAAAAUAAAUUCCUACAUUAGCCUAUCUGGUGUUUGCCAUGCAAUAUGUAAUGGCCAAGAUCAGUAUGAAGUGAAACACUGGAAUAACAGGUUCACUAUGGACCUUCAGAAGAAAGAGUGUAGUUGUAGGUACUGGCAAUUGUCUGGUUUGCCCUGUCCACAUGCCAUUUCCUGUAUAUUCUUCAAGACAAAUACACUGGAUGACUACAUUUCUAAAUGCUACACAGUGGAGGAAUUCAACAAAAUUUACAACUAUUGUUUGAUCCCAGUAGAAGGUAUGCAGAGUUGGCCUCAAUCAGAUAGGCCACCCUUACAAGCUCCUGGUUAUGUUAGGAUGCUAGGAGAGAAGGAGAGGAAAAGGGAGUCAAAUGAGAAACCAAAAGUAGGAAAAAUUUCUAGAGUUGACACAGUCAUCAGAUGUAGGAAUUGCAAGCAGAUUGGCCAUAAUAGGUUUAUUUGUGACAAAAGCUAUGUUUGUCAAUACAUUUCCUUUAGAGAUAAACAACAUCAUGUCCACAUAGUUCAGAGAUAAACAUGGUUCACAUAUCAUUCAUCAGGCAUGCUGGCCAAAACAUAAAGAACAUUUUUAGCUGAACCAUUUGUUCCAGACUACAACUAGCACAAGCACAACACAACACUUAAUCAGGAACUUGUACACCACUAAUUCCUUCUCCAUCCUACAAACUCUAUCCCUCAUAGCAUCACUCUCUUCUUCCUUUCGUGAUGCAUUUGCUUCCAUCUCUACCUUCAAUGCUCUGACUUCCCCUUUGUGCUCCUUAACCAUGAGAGUUGCAUCACCAAGGCGAUCUCUCAACUCUCUGUUCUGCUUUGUUAGACCCCAAACCAAAAUUUUCAGAUCACGAAGCAUGUCCUGGAUGAACUCGGGAUAGGGAUCUUCUGCCCAAAACCAAUAGGAGCAGCCGCCAGCCUGUGGGUGCCUCAAAUCAAAACAAGAUUCAAAUUCAAAGACAAAUCAACAACUCUGGCACAAAUUUGGACAAAUGUACUCACACGUCAACAGUAGCAGGUGAAUUAGCGUCGCCCUAGGUUAGCGCCGCCUUCUUCCCGCAAUAGCACAUCGUCGAAGGCGAGUAAAAUAGGGUACCCUGCCUGUAAGGGAUUGGAGACCCCUCCCCAAAGUUCCUUGCGCAUCCAUCGAGCUGCUCGAGCUCCACGACCUGGCCAUGGCUCUCCACCCCUCCGCCCCUCUCCUCUCCAAACCCUAGCGUAAUGGAUUCAAUUUGGGGGACGAGCUGUCGUCGGGGAGAGAUAAGGAAGAGAUAAGGCCUAACGUGUGGGCCCCAUCCGAGUCAGCAAGGUGACAUGACCAAUGAAUCCAACGUGGCAGUCAAAACUGCUUCAAACCAGUCAAAAUUGGGGUCGGUGGCUAAUUAAACAUGGUUUAUACAGUUGAUUGGUCAAA